ACGGAAGGCAGCAGUGGGGAAUAUUGGACAAUGGGGGCAACCCUGAUCCAGCAAUGCCGCGUGAGUGAUGAAGGCCUUCGGGUUGUAAAGCUCUUUUGGCGGGGACGAUGAUGACGGUACCCGCAGAAUAAGCCCCGGCUAACUUCGUGCCAGCAGCCGCGGUAAUACGAAGGGGGCUAGCGUUGUUCGGAAUUACUGGGCGUAAAGGGCGCGUAGGCGGUCCUGAUCGUCGGAUGUGAAAGGCCUGGGCUCAACCUGGGAACUGCAUCCGAUACGGCGGGACUGGAGUGUGGGAGAGGUUGGUGGAAUUCCCAGUGUAGAGGUGAAAUUCGUAGAUAUUGGGAAGAACACCGGUGGCGAAGGCGGCCAACUGGACCACAACUGACGCUGAGGCGCGAAAGCGUGGGGAGCAAACAGGAUUAGAUACCCUGGUA
rnacentral:rRNA from 1 species